UACGUAGGCAGCGAGCGUUGUUCGGAAUUACUGGGCGUAAAGAGUGUGUAGGCGGUGUUCCCAGUCUGUUGUGAAAUCUCCCGGCUUAACUGGGAGGGUGCAGCGGAAACUAGAAUGCUAGAGGGUGGGAGAGGUAAGCGGAAUUCCUGGUGUAGCGGUGAAAUGCGUAGAUAUCAGGAGGAAUACCGGUGGUGUAGACGGCUCUCUGGACCGCCACUGACGCUGAGACACGAAAGCGUGGGUAGCAAACAGG
rnacentral:rRNA from 1 species